UGUGCAAAUGACCCCAGAGCAGUUUUUCCAGUUUAAAGACUCCAGCAUAUUGGAGGGGGUGCCUUCCAGAAGUCUGGUGACCAAAAGAGGUAGGGUGAGUACCUGGAAAGGACUGGUGUCCUAUAGAGCAGGAGUGGUUCCCCGAGGAGACUGGAGCCUGGCCAGCAAAUCAAUUCUCAAUAGUAACUUGGUGGAUUUACCUAGAUUACUUGGAAAUGGAUUAUUUCAUAAACAGAUUAUUUCAUGAACAGACACUCCCCAGAUACUCCCAGAAAUGCUUUAGGGACUCUUUAGCAGGGAUUGACAAUCUGCCAGCCUGAGUAGGUGGGGGCAGAAGUCAGUGGAGUGUAUUCAUGCUUUUUUUUUUUUUUUUAAUUUUUAUUUAUUUAUUCAUGAUAGUCACACAGAGAGAGAGAGAGGCAGAGACACAGGCAGAGGGAGAAGCAGGCUCCAUGCAGGGAGCCCGACGUGGGAUUCGAUCCUGGGUCUCUAGGAUCGCGCCCUGGGCCAAAGGCAGGCGCUAAACUGCUGCGCCACUCAGGGAUCCCUGUAUUCAUGCUUUUAAUGUAACUGUGCUUUUAGCCACAGGUUGGGGAAAUUUGGGUUUUACUGUGUUUGGACUAUUUCACUUGUAUGUGUCAUCCUAGUAGAGCUCUGGUGCUUUACUAUAUGAGUUUUUCAUUGUUGCUAUACUAAGUCACUACAGAUUUAGUGGCUUAAACAGUUACAUAGGUUACAAGUCCAAUAUGGGUUUUAUUGAGUGAAGAUUGAGGGGUCAAUAGUGCUGUAUUCUUUCUGGAGACUGUCAGGGAGAGUCCCUUUCCUUAUCUUUUCCAUCGUCAUGAGGCCAACACAUUCCUUGAUUUGUAGCUCCUUCUUUCAUCUUCUGUGCCAGCAAUGUCAUCUCUCUCUCUGACCUCAGGGAAAAGUUCUCUGCUGUGAUUAGGUUGGGCCUACCUGGAUAAUAGAAUAAUCUCCCCAUCUCUAGAUUCCUAAACUUAAUCACAUCUACAAAAUGACUUCUGCCAUGUGAGGUAACUCAGUCAGUCACCAGUUCCAAGGAUUAGUAUGUGGACAUCUUUCUUGGGUGGGGGGGGAAGGGGCAUUUUUCUACCCACCAUAUUUUUUUUUUUUUUAAGAUUUAUUUAUUUAUUCAUGAGAAACACAGAGAGAGAGAGAGAGGCAGGCGCAGACACAGGCAGUGGGAGAAGCAGGCUCCAUGCAGGGAGCCGAUGCGGGACUCGAUCCCCAGUCUCCAGGAUCACGCCCUGGGCUGCAGGCGUCGCUAAACCACUGCGCCACCGGGGCUGCCCCUCUACCCACCAUAUUUAUGAUUUACUAAAUAUAUCCUAUUCUAAUUUCAUUUUUGUAACAUCCUUGAAUGGCAGUAUUAUUCUUGUAAGGUAGAUAACUUUUCUGAAGCACUUGUUAAGAAUAUAGUUCCUAUCAGUUGUUACCAUCUUAACCCAGGGUUCAGUCUUAGCAUUACUCGCUAAUAAGGACAACCAGAUAUAAAAUGUCUCUUGGGUGUUACAAAGUGAAGGAUAUGGCAUUAUCUUUUUUUUAUUAUUAUUUUUUUAAUUUAUUUAUUUAUGAUAGUCACAGAGAGAGAGAGAAAGAGAGGCAGAGACACAGGCAGAGGGAGAAGCAGGCUCCAUGCACCGGGAGCCCGAUGUGGGAUUCGAUCCUGGGUCUCCAGGAUCGCGCCCUGGGCCAAAGGCAGGCGCCAAACCGCUGCGCCACUCAGGGAUCCCCCGGAUAUGGCAUUAUCUAUAAAAAAUUUUUAAACAACUUAAGAUAUUAACAUACCAUAGAAUUUGCCCUUCUAAAGUCCAAAGUUCAAUGAUUUUUGUAUAUUUAUAUAGCUAUGUGACCAUCACCACAAUCUAAUUUUGAAGCAUUUGUGUCAUCGCCAAAAGAAAUCUAAUACCCAUUAACAUCACUGCCAAUUUCCCCCCUCCUCAGCCCCUGGAAGCUAUUAAUCAAUUUUAUGGUUUUUGGGACAUCUGGAAGGCUCAGUGGUUGAGUGUCUGCCUUUGGUUCAGGGUGUGACCCUGGGAUCCGGGAUGGAGUCCCACAUCGGGCUUCCUGCAUGGAGCCUACUUCUCCCUCUGCCUAUGUUUCUGCCUCUCUCUCUCUCUGUGUCUCUCAUAAAUAAAUAAAUAAAUAAAAUAUUUAAAAAAAUUUUUAUGGUUUUUUAAAAAAGAUUUUAUUUAUUUAUUUGAGAGAGAGAGAGAGAGAGAGAGAGAGAAGGAAGGGGCAGAGGGAGAGAAUCUCAAGUAGACUCUGCUGAGCACAGAGCCCAACACGGUGCUCUAUUUCACUACCCCAAGAUCAUGACCUGAGCCUAGAUCAAGGGUUGGAUGCUCAAUGGAUGGAGCCACCCAGGCCACCCCUUUUUUUGUUUGCUUGUUUUUCAAGCCCCAACACAGGUUGAACUUCUAAUGCUGAGAUCAAGACUUGAGCUGCAAUCAAGAGUUGGAUGCUUAACCAAUUGAGCUACCCAAGUGUCCCUCAAUAUUAUGUUUUUCUAGAUUUACCUAUUCUAGACAUCUCAUGGAAAUGGAGUCAUACAUAUGUGGUCACUUACUUAGUUUUAACUUAGCAUAAUGUUUUUAAGGCUCAUCUAUGUUAUAAUAUGAAUUAGGACUUCAUUCCUUUUUUUGGCCAAACAAUAUUCCAUUGUGUGAAUAGACUACAUUUUAUUUAUCCAUUCAUCAGUUGCUGAACAUUUGAGUUGUUUUACUUUUUGGCUAUUAUGAACUUAUAAAGUAUUCUUGCAACAAUGUUCAAUGCAGAGCCUGGUGGACAGAAUAAUGGUCUCCCACCAAUGUCUAUAUCCUAAUCCCUGCCACCUGUAAUAUGUUACCUUACAUGGCAAAAGGGACCUUGUACGUGUGAGUAAGGUUAAGGACCUAGAGAUGGGCCCCAUGUAAUCACAUAGUCCUUAAAAGAAAGGAGGAUUUUCCCUCUGAGGUCAGAGAUUCAAGACACCCCUGGGUGGCUCAGUUGCUUGAGCAUCUGCCUUUGGCUCAGGUCAUGAUCCCAGAGUCCCAGCAUCGAGCUCUGCACUGGGCUGUCUGCUCAACGGAGAGCCUGCUUCUCCCUUUUCCUCUGCUCCUCACCCUGCUUGUGCUGUCUCUCUCAAAUAAUCUUUUUUCUUUUAAAGAGAUGUGAGGACAGAAGAAAGUUCAGACAUGUGUGAUAUUGCUGUCAUUUGGGAUGGAGCAAGGAGGCCAUGAGCAAGGGAUGUGGGCAGUCUCUAGAAGGUGGGAAAGGCACAGGAGCAGAUUUUCCCCUGCAGCCUCCAGAACCUUCCCAACACCUCAAUUUUAGUCCGUUGAUUUUUGCUCUUAGACAAAGGGAACUGCCUUGUUUUUGGUAAUGCCCCCCUGCAUCCAGUGAGUAAUCAAUGUGGAAAGUCUAAAGGUCCUGCCCCCCAUCUUGAUCUAGGACAACCGUAAAGGGCCAUCUCAGCUCCAAAGUGCUGUAUGGGAUCACCUGAGGCCUCAACUUCCCUUUCUGCCUGAUCCUGCCUCCCUUAGUCCCUUCAAGGCACUGUUCCUGAGACCACUCUCCAGUAAAUCUCCUGCAUGCAAAUCUCUGCCUCUGAGUUUGUUUCCUGGGGAAUCCAACAUGAGACACUUGCACACAACAUCUUAUCCAAGGACGGGCAGCCAGCUGGGAACCAGCAAGAAAAAGAAUUUGGAAAAGGAAAAAGGUUAAGGGAGGACCUACUCUAAAUUCCAAAAUUGGUGAUGAAAUACUGGAGAGAACAUCAGCUGGGCAUUAGAAAACUUGGGUUCAAGUUCUAGCUUUGCCUUAAGGACUCUUGUCAAGACACCUGUAUCCCUGCCUCCGUUUUCUAAGAAGAGGGUGUUGGACUUACUCAUCUUCAAGAUUACCUCUGGCCCUACAGCUCCAGGUCUGUGGCCUGAAAGCCAGAGACAGGUUGGAUCUUCACCUUCAUCUCUCCCUAAUUUCCAGGCUCAGAACCGAGCCCCCUCCAGAAGCUCCCCAGGACUGAGGACAGGCAUGUCCUUCCUGAGUCAAAAUGGACUUCUGGGUUGCACAACUCUUGGCCUUUGGGACACUUAGUUCAAACUGUGAUAAUUUCUUAGAUGCUUGUCUAUCACCGUGCUUUCCAUAUGCACAAUUUUCUUCUUUGUUGAUAGUUAACUUUUUUAUGUUUAAAAAAAUAAAAUGUCAUGUAA
rnacentral:lncRNA from 1 species